GUCUACGGCCAUACCACCCUGGACACGCCUGGUCUCGUCUGAUCUCGGGAGCUAAGCAGGGUCAGUCCUGGUUUGUACUUGGAUGGGAGAAAACGGGGGAAUUAGAGU
ensembl:rRNA 5S_rRNA 5S ribosomal RNA